UCCUUUCAAGGAUGUGUUCUGACAACUUUCCUGACGCAAGUCCGGAAGGUUUUGGAAUGCUUCUUAAAUAAAGUCCUUGCCUGCAGGAUCGGGCAAGGCACAGCCAGGUAGGCUGCCUGCACUUCGGUGUAACGCGCCGUCAACAUAUCCCUUCCAGCGACAAUCAAUGGACCCUUUUGGGGCUAGUAGCUCAGUUGGUUAGAGCACACGCUUGAUAAGCGUGGGGUCGGAGGUUCAAGUCCUCCCUGGCCCACCAGUCCUCUGCCGUAUGGCCACGCUGUGGCCGUGCACUGAUGGGGGCGUAGCUCAGCUGGGAGAGCACCUGCUUUGCAAGCAGGGGGUCGUCGGUUCGAUCCCGUCCGCCUCCACCACCGACCAUCGGGUUGGAUACUGGUGUUGAGAAGGUUGGGAACGAUCGGAAGAUCGGGAGAUUGUCGCCGGAAGAUAAUGGAGAUCGGACGGAUGCCUUGUGGAACCGCGUUGGCGGUGCACGAGGUGUUGCGGUCUGGUAAGUUUGCUCUUUGAUAAGUGAAUAGGUUGGUGCGUUUGUGGACGUGCCUGUGUCGCGGGUUGGUCUGACCCGUGGAUGGUCCGAGCAGUCGGAGUGUCCAUGCUAAGCGACAGGGGCGUGAGCGUUCAUAAGCGAGUUAAGUGUUGAAUUGUGCGAUGCACUGCACUUUCUCUGUGCGGGUGUUGUUGCUCGAUCUGGCGGUUUUGUAUGUGAGUAAUCAGAUAUGGACCUGCGGGCUUGAGUGGAUGGCUCCUGUGCAUGUGUGGGCAAUGAGCGCGAUAAGGGCAUUCGGUGG
rnacentral:tRNA from 1 species